UACGUAGGGUGCAAGCGUUGUCCGGAAUUAUUGGGCGUAAAGAGCUCGUAGGCGGUUUGUCGCGUCUGCUGUGAAAACUCGGGGCUUAACUCCGGGCCUGCAGUGGGUACGGGCAGACUAGAGUGCGGUAGGGGAGACUGGAAUUCCCGGUGUAGCGGUGAAAUGCGCAGAUAUCGGGAGGAACACCGGUGGCGAAGGCGGUUCUCUGGGCCUGUACUGACGCUGAGGAGCGAAAGCGUGGGGAGCGAACAGG
rnacentral:rRNA from 1 species